UUCUACACAGAAUUACUGUGUAUUGAACUACUUUUCUCUGUCAAAUUUGUUGUAUAACAUGAUGUUUUGGUGCGUUAAUUUGUAAAAUCAUAACCUAAUUUGAUGUUUAAUAGGCUUUUCCUUAAUCCCUCCUUAUUAUUUAAGAUAUUUGCUUAUUCAAGCUUAUGCCGGCCCGUUUAGCUUGGAUAAGUGAGACUCUACUGUAAUAAUAUGUACACAGACAAAUACUAAUAAUAUAUUAUUAUCACAACAACAACAUACUAUUAUUAUUAACACAUUCAUAAUAUAUUAUCACUAAUAGUAGUAUUAUAUUCAUAUUUAUAAUACUAAUAACAGUACAUGAGACAAUUAUGAAUAAUAUAUUAUUCACAAUAAUAUAUUAUUAUUGUUAACACAGUAUGCACAUGUGUGCAUGUGGGUCUACAUGUGUGUGUGUGGAUAUAUAAUGUGUGUAGAUAUAGAGUGUCUAUAUGUGUAUCAAUAGCAAUUUGUGGGACUACAUCUGUGGACGUACUAGAUAGACAGACAGACAGACAGACUGUACAUGAGUAUAUAUAGAGAAAAUAUAAGUGUCCUAAGGAUGAUAAUAAUUCAUCUCAUUUGCUGUGUCAUAUUCUGUCUUUGUGUCAAUAAUUAUAAUAAUAAUACUACUACUAAUAAUAAUAGGACCAUUUUGACUUUCUGGAAGGCAAUCCUUGGUCGCUUUGGAGCCCAGCAAUGAAGGAGACCAAGUUGGCGCCAUCCUCCCGGGAAGAUGGCGCCCCCGGGACGAUGGCGCCACAGGCAAGUGCCUAGUUCACCAUAUGGUUGGACCGCCUCUGCUGCCACCCAAUUUCAAUUUAGUAGGACCUGAGCAUGCAUUUCAGCAGAGGUGAAAAUCUUGUUGGUUCAUGGUCCAACUGCAGGCUCAUUCACAAUCCCAUCUCCUUGGAUUAAUCUGCCAGCUCUUUAAGCCCCUAACAAAUAUUUACCCCCUGGAUCAUUUGCUAUCUUUUGUAGGAAAUGCAGAAAGGGACAGACCAAUACAG
rnacentral:lncRNA from 1 species